rnacentral:tRNA from 1 species
GGCGCUUUCCUCUAAGAGGUAAGGAGAUCAGACUCUCAAUCUGAAAAUAUGGGUUCGAGUCCCGUAAGCGUCACCA